rnacentral:rRNA from 1 species
UACAGAGGUCUCAAGCGUUGUUCGGAUUCAUUGGGCGUAAAGGGUGCGUAGGCGGCGCGGUAAGUCGGGUGUGAAAUCUUGGAGCUUAACUCCGAAACUGCACUUGAUACUGCAGUGCUCGAGGACUGGAGAGGAGAUUGGAAUUCAUGGUGUAGCAGUGAAAUGCGUAGAUAUCAUGAGGAAGACCAGUGGCGAAGGCGGAUCUCUGGACAGUUCCUGACACUGAGGCACGAAGGCCAGGGGAGCAAACGGG